rnacentral:rRNA from 1 species
UACAGAGGUCUCAAGCGUUGUUCGGAUUCAUUGGGCGUAAAGGGUGCGUAGGUGGCGCUGUAAGUCGGGUGUGAAAUUUCGGAGCUUAACUCCGAAACUGCAUUCGAUACUGCGGUGCUUGAGGACUGGAGAGGAGACUGGAAUUCAUGGUGUAGCAGUGAAAUGCGUAGAGAUCAUGAGGAAGACCAGUGGCGAAGGCGGGUCUCUGGGCCGUAACUGACGCUGAGGAGCGAAAGCAUGGGGAGCGAACAGG